AGUGAACGCUGGCGGCAGGCCUAACACAUGCAAGUCGAACGGCAGCACAGUAAGAGCUUGCUCUUACGGGUGGCGAGUGGCGGACGGGUGAGGAAUACAUCGGAAUCUACUUUUUCGUGGGGGAUAACGUAGGGAAACGUACUCUAAUACCGCAUACGACGUACGGGGGAAAGCAGGGGAUCGUCUGACCUUGCGCGAUUGAAUGAGCCGAUGUCGGGUUAGCUAGUUGGCGGGGUAAAGGCCCACCAUGGCGACGAUCCGUAGCUGGUCUGGGAGGAUGAUCCGCCCUGGUCGGACUGGCAGACAGUCCAGACUCGUACUGGGGCCCGGAGUGGUGCGUUUUGGAAUGGGGGGGAGCCUGAUACAGCCCUACCGAGUCGGUUAAGAAGGCGUUCCGGUUGUAAAGCCCUUUUGUUGGUAGAGAAAAGCAGCCGGUUAAUACCCCGCGGUACUGACGGUACCCGGAGAAUAAGCACCGGCUAACUUCGUG
rnacentral:rRNA from 1 species